GGACGGUGAAGAUUUAUAUUUGGUCUCGUUCGUCGUAACUGGCAUUUGUUUGGCUUGCCGACUACCCAAAUUUGAGUCC
rfam:Triticum aestivum genome assembly, contig: Triticum_aestivum_CS42_TGACv1_scaffold_160160_2DL